rnacentral:rRNA from 1 species
CGGCCCAGACUCCUACGGGAGGCAGCAGUUAGGAAUCUUGGGCAAUGGGCGAAAGCCUGACCCAGCAACGCCGCGUGGGUGACGAAGGCCUUCGGGUCGUAAGCCCUUUUGCACGGGAAGAUGAUGACGGUACCGUGCGAAUAAGCCCCGGCUAACUACGUGCCAGCAGCCGCGGUAAUACGUAGGGGGCGAGCGUUGUCCGGAUUUAUUGGGCGUAAAAGGCUUGUAGGUGGCCACGCCAAGUCGGAUGUGAAUUCUCCCGGCUUAACUGGGAGGGGUCAUUCGAUACUGGCGGGCUCGAGGCCGGUAGGGGGUAGCGGAAUUCCCGGUGUAGUGGUGGAAUGCGUAGAUAUCGGGAGGAACACCAGUGGCGAAGGCGGCUACCUGGACCGGUUCUGACACUGAGGAGCGAAAGCGUGGGGAGCGAUCCGGAUUAGAUACCCGGGUAGUCCACGCCGUAAACGGUGGGCACUAGAUGUCGGGGGUAUCGACCCCUCCGGUGUCGCAGCUAACGCAUUAAGUGCCCUGCCUGGGGAGUACGGCCGCAAGGCUAAAACUCAAAGGAAUUGACGGGGGCCCGCACAAGCAGCGGAGCGUGUGGUUUAAUUCGAUGCAACGCGAAGAACCUCACCUAGGCUUGACAUGGCUGAAGUAGAACCCCGAAAGGGGAACCACCCGUAAAGUCGGGAACAGUCACAGGUGCUGCAUGGCUGUCGUCAGCUCGUGCCGUGAGGUGUUGGGUUAAGUCCCGCAACGAGCGCAACCCUCGGCGUUAGUUACCAUGUCUAACGCGACUGCCGGUUUCAAACCGGAGGAAGGUGGGGAUGACGUCAAGUCAGCACGGCCCUUACGCCUAGGGCUACACACACGCUACAAUGGCCGGUACAAUGGGACGCCAAGGGGUGACCCGGAGCAAAUCCUAUCAAAGCCGGUCUCAGUUGGGAUUGCAGGCUGCAACUCGCCUGCAUGAACGCGGAGUUGCUAGUAACCGCAGGUCAGCACACUGCGGUGAAUACGUUCCCGGGCCUUGUACACACCGCCCGUCACGUCAUGAAAGUUGGAAACGCCUGAAGUCGGUGGGCCAACCCGCAAGGGAGGCAGCCGCCGAGGGUGGAGCCAGCGAUUGGGACGAAGUCGUAACAAGGUAGCCGUACGGGAACGUGCGGCUG